ensembl:misc_RNA 7SK 7SK RNA
GCAAAUGACAGGCGCGCGGCUGGGGCUUCCAUUCUGUAGAGGGUUGGUUCGGAUGGGUCGACACCUGCUGGCUCAGGCAGGAGUCCCUUUCCUCCCUCACUGCUCCCCGGGGAUCUCUCCUGAAGCUGCGUGCUGGGUGGAAGAGGAGGAUCUUCCCUGAUAGAGGACAACUGUUCCAUGGUCAAGUGUAUACCACUUGCCUGCUAGAACCUCAGAACAAGCUCAAACCGGAAGGUGAAUGUUGAAUAUGUAUAUCCUGUUGCCUUCAAAGUACUCAGAAGAGGGGAUUCGGGUUUUCUCUUGCUGA